AAUUAAACCUCUCUUCUUUAUAAGUUACCUUGUCUCAGGUAGUUCUUUAUAGCAGUGUGAAAACAGACUAACACAAAGGCCGUCUUUCAUGUGGAACUUGUUUUUGCGUAUUGGAAACAUUGCUAAUCUGUGUUUGGGAAUGAAUCUUACCUUUUUAUAGAGUAUCAGUGGGAUCAGGUGUUUGGGAUUUGGAGCUGUCCUUUAAAAUAACUUUGACAAGUUUGAUUCUAUCUUGGCUUUCUUGCGUUUACAUUCUUAGUGUUCAUUGUAUUUUUUUGUUACAGUGCUUUUUUUGGGCACUAACAUGUUAAAAACAGAUGUAGAGCACCAUCAGAAGGUAUUCUCUUUUAAGAACUUUAAAUAGAAAAAAACAGUAGAACAAUGUAUUAAUCCAAAAGGUGGCUCUUUGAAAAAAAAUUGAACUACACUAAUGACAUUUGUAAACAAUGAGGUAGUCUCAAGAAAAAGAUGAAAGUACAAAUAUACAAAAUAAGUCCUGAGAAGAGGAGAUCAUAAAAACAGAUAAUUUGAAGAAUGUUAGGAGACUACUGAACUCUUUUAAAAUAAACUUUAAAACUUUGAUGAAAAUGAUAAUUUUUAGGAAAAUAUAAGUAAUCCAGAUUGACCCCAGAAGAGGUAGAAAAUUUAAGCAGGUUGAUUUUUAUAGAAGAAAUAAAGCUAUGAAAGAGUUACCUCCUCUCAAAGCAUUGUCUAGUUUCACCAAGAUUAUCUACCAAAUAUUUAAAGAGCAGAUAAUUCCAGAGCAGGAAUAAAUGGCUAUUUCCUUGACAUAGCAUAUCUAUUUGAACCCAAAAGCCCAUUUUAGGCUUAAUGAAGAAACGUUGAGAUUUCCACUGAUGUUCAGACCAAGACGAGGAGUGAGAACAGCCUAGUACCUUUUACAGUGUGCACUGUUAGCAAAAUUUUGGUGUUAUCUUAGUUUUAAUCCCACCUUUAAAAAUAAAUUCUACCUUUUUUGUAUUAAGGAAACUUCCACCUUUUUAUUAAGUGUGAUCUAGUCGUUGAUUUAUACUUUGUAAGAAGGUAAGAUUCAAACCUUUAAACUUCUUAAUGUUUAAUUUCUCCCAGGCCACCUAAAUUGGAUUAUAACAUGAAUUGGCCUACUUUGAAUGAUAGAUUAUUAUUUUACAUUGUAGGUACAGCCAGUGUGAUCAGACAAAGCAAUUCGAGAACUACAAAAGAGGAAAAAAGAUCAGAAGUUCUUAAAUACAUAAGGGAAUGCAGCAUUUGAUAAAGGUGGUAUCUCAAGUCAGUGGGGAAAAGGUGAAAUAUUCAAUAAAUGGUAUUGGGACAACUGGGUAGCCAUAUGGAAAAAAAGGUUGGAUCUCUACACCGUAAGCCAGGAUAAAUUUCAGUGUUUGAUGGAAUAAAUUCCAGAUAUAUGAUGAUAAUAGCUCACACUUGUUAAGUGUCUUGUAUGCCAGGCACUGUAGUAAUUUACUAAUGCAUUUAAUCCUUACGGUAACCCAAAGAAGUAGUAACUGUUAUCACCACUUAUAGAUGUGGAAACUGAGGCCCAUAGAUGUUAGGCAGUUUAAACAACAUACAUUGCUAAUAAGUAGUGGAGCUGGGAUAUGAACGUAGUCAGUUUGGCUAUAGAGUUUCUGGCCUUAACUCCUAUACUCUUUUUCCAUUUAGGUUAUUGUUAAAAAUGAAACAGUAUGAGAACAGAAUGUUUUUAUAAUCUGGGUGUGAGGAAAGCCAUGACUUAACCAUGACUUGAAAAUCGGAAAACGUAAGACUGAUAAAUUAGAUUAUAUCACAGUAAAAAGACUGAUAAAUUAGAUCAUAUCACAGUAAAAUUCUUCUGCAUGGCAAAAAUCAUCAUAAGCAAAGCCAAAAGACAAACGAUGGUAAAUAGUUGCAAUUCAUAUCAUAGGUGAAGGACCAAUCUUUUUAAUUAUAUAAGAAGCUUCUAGAAAUAAAAACACCAACAUCCAUUGGCAAGGUAGACGUUAGGUUAUGAACAGACCGUUUACAGAAAAGUACAAUUGGCUUUUAAGCAUAUAAAAAGAUGCUCAACUUCACUUAUAAUGAGAAUGCAAAUACCAUUUUUCAUGUUUCAGACUGGCAGAAAUCCAGAACUUUGACGAUACACUGUGUUGGUAAAUUCUUAAGGAAAAAUACACUCUUGUACAUGGCUGGCAAGAGUAUAAAUUGGCUCAACUCCUAUGGAAGGCAAUUUGGUUGUAUCUAUCAAAAAUUCAAAUGCAUAUACCUUUUGACCCAGGAAUUCAAUUUAUGGGAAUUUAUCGUCUGGACAUAACUGCUAUGCAUGCCAAAUGAUGACUGCACCAGGUUAUUCACUACAGCUUUGUUUGCAAUAGCACAAGACUGGAAACAACCCAGGUGCCUAUCAGUAGUGGCUAGUUACAUAAAUUACAGUUCAUUGUCACAAUGGAUAUGCAGCUGUAAAAAAGAAUGUGGAACAUCUGUGUGAAUGGGUAUGGAGGGAUUGCCAAGAUGUAGCAUUAAGUGAAAAAAGCAAGGUCUCAACAGUGUAUAUAUACAGUAUGCUAACUUUUCUGUGAACAGAAGGGAAAAUAAUAUGUAUAGAGAAACUUUGAAAGGAUAGCUAAGAAAUUAAUGGCUGAGGAGGGGGCUGUGUAAUGAGGAUGGAUGGAAGACAUAGACUUUUGAUGCUUUUUUGUAACUUGCUUCUUGUAAUGUGACUGCAUUUGUGAAUUACAUAACUCCACUUUGAAGAUGAUCUGUCUCGCUGUUUUUAGUCUAAUUGACCACCUUUCUGUCAUCUUUUGUCAUACUUACUUGAAGUUUUUUUUUUUUUCAAUUUUGCUCUUUCUUGUCAAGUACAUCUUUUUUCUGCAACUUGCUUUUGUAAUCAAAAUCUACAUUUUGGCGUGAUUGAAAAAUCAAAAUUUAGAGAGUGAAAUCGGAAUAAGUUAAUCCAAGUCAUUUUACAUUUCAUAAAUAUUCAUUUUUAUUGAAGCAUCAAUUGUGAUGGCAUCAUUUAUACAAAGAACAGAUCUUUGAGGACAAAUUCCUUCCACUAUUAUGUAGAAGGCAUUAUGUGUAUUUCUUGUAUUGUGAGUGAUGUACGUUGAUUUUUAAAAGAAAAUGAUAGAAAACAGUUUUCCUUUUAGAAAAGUUUUCCCCAAUGUGUGAUUAAUUUCUAAAUUGUAGGAUACAGAAUUGUUAUUUCCCCUCUUUGCAUCCUGCCCAGAGCUCUUUGAUUUUACAACCUGUUCCAGAACGUUUAGUGUUUCCCUGAAGUCCCUGGGAUGAGGGUAUUCUGUACCUCCCACAAUGUGAUCCUUACCUGCUUUCCCAGUCUUUUUCUCCACUGUGUCCCUGUAGAACCCCAUCUUCUGCCUAAUGUGUUUCACUUUUCUGCCUCUGUAUUGCUCACACGACCAUACCCAUAGCGUGGAUUGCACACUUGGAUCUUUUUACUUAGUCAUUCAUUAAAUGUCUAUUAAAGGCCUGCUUAGGAAAGACCUGUAUUGUCCAUAUAUCCUUAUCUUCAAGGAAGCAUCCUUGAAAUUUGCCCUGCUCUAAUUCCCCUUCUCCCGGAAACCCAUCCUUUUUCUCUCCAACCUAAGUGAUCUCCUUCUUCUCUACUGGACAAAUAGCUAUGUACUACUUUAUGAAUCCUUUCUAUGGCAUCUUGCGUUGCUAAUUAGAUGUCUUAUUGCACGGAACUCGCACAAUCUGUCUCAUCUCCCCACGUAGUGAGCUCACAGCACUUCACCAAGAGUGCUGCCCACCAAGAACUCACAGCACUUCACCAAGAGUGCAGUCAAUAGUGUUUUAUGAACGUUGGGAAGAAUAUGGUUAAUGCCUGAGAACAAAGACCAGAAAUGUCAUCUUUUCGUGUGACCAUCAUGAUACAGAGAAGUUAACAGAGCUGCCCCAUUGUCCAUGGGGCAUGUUCCGAGUUUUUCCAGUAGUGGUGAUAGAUUUUGGCUGAUUUCUCUGAACUUUUCCCUGAGUUAUUUUUGUGACUUUGGCCAGGAUGAAGGGUGGGGAACCCCUCAUCUUUAAAUCUCUGAGCAGAGACUUGCUAGGCAUCUGCAGCAGUGGUGGGGAAGAGGUCAUUAAGCUCAGUGCAGUCCACGUGGGGCCUUGGCCUGCGAUCUUCAGGCUCAGGAGUUAUUGUGAGCCCCUGCGUUGGGUGGGGGAAGGGAGGAAAGGAGGACAGCUGAGGCAAGGAGUGGGAGCCUGGCUGGGGGAGGAGACAUCAGCCUGGGGCAUGGGUCUUAUGAGGGUGAGUGGCCGCCAGGCCCUCAGCAAGGACCAGAGUGGAAGCCUCUUUGCUAAGCUUGGUCUGGCUCCUGCAUGGGUCCCAGCAGCGUGCCAUCAAUCAUCCGUUCCUCCUUGGCAGAUGGCCAGGCUCCUUCCCAUGCAGCAGCAGCAGCAGCUGGCUGGCCCUGCCCUCCUGUUUCAGCUGACAUCGGCAACCCUCUGGGGAUGUAUGGAAGACUGAAUUCUACAAGAGAUGCUUUCAGGAUGUCAGUGCAUGAUGAAUGAAAGUUGUGGAUCUUCUACAUGCUGCUCUUAUCUUCCUCACAUCAUAAACUCCAAGUUUGAGAGCAUCACAAUAUUCAUCGAUAUGUAGCACUACACAAUGAACUGAGGGCAGGAAUUGACUUACUCUUUGUACCCGGAACACAGUAAGCUGAUGAUAAAUACUUGUUGAAAGACUGUAGCAUAUAACCUGUUGAGUUGUUUGAGAGGCCAGGGUUCCUCUGAGCAGUAUCAUGCCAACAGACACACGCAUGUUAUGUAUUAUGGCACAUAAUCGGUAAGUCCAUAACUGUUGGAGUAAUGGGGACGAGCAUAGUGCACUGAAGGGUACAGGAAGCAUCGGGGUUUGGGGGCUCCGGCCUACAUUUGUGGUUAUGUUACUGGUUUUUCCUAUCGCAUCAGAAAACUUUAUUAACUAGAUGGAAUUUCUGCAGCCAGAUGAAAAUGUAUGUGAUAGGAGUGGAUCGUGUGAUAGGAGUGGAUCGUGUUAGCUGCGUGAGAUUGCUAGUGAGGCACUGAGUUGUCAUCAGGUAGCAAUUCCACCAUUUCCACUGGAAUUCCUUAGCACAUUUUAAGCUAAAAGAGGUAAGAAGUCAGAAGGGUAAGAGUCUGGCCAUGGCUUUGCUUUCUUCUCUCACGCUUCCAACCACCCUCGUCUGAAAGCUACAUUUCACCUUGUGAAAGUUCUGCCCUUCUGUUUCCAAAUACGAGAUGCUGUAAGCCUGAACUCAGAUCUAAAACCAAACUUAGCAUUUUGUUUCCAAAAGAUUGACUACAUAUUUUAAUUUCCCAACCUCUCUCAGUGGCACUGCUCUCCUCUCAAAUCCCAGAAGCCGCAGUCAGGGUCAUCUUUGAGCCUUACCUCUACAUUUGAGUUGUCCUUCCUCCCAUGAGUCCCGAUGACUUCUUUUCUUCAUUGGUCUCUGAUCUGUCUUCACUCUCCCCUGCCUGAGCUGUUCAGAGCAUUAUCAACAUCUACCUAAAAUUUGAAUUUCAUUCUCUCACUGUUUAGGGAACAGCAGCGACUUGGACCUGUCCAAUGACACUCUUCAAUGCUGGACACUUGCUGUAAUUUGCUGCUGGCCUCAGUGUUUCAGAUCUCCACUUCCACCCCGAGGCUGGCUCCUGCUCUGAGCUCCUUCCUUGCAGCUCCGGAGGCUGGCAAGUCCAUGAUCACCGUCAACAUGUCAGCAAGUUCAGUUGUCUGCUGAAGGCUGUUCUCUGCUUCAAAGAUGGUUCCUCUGGAUUGGAGAAACAGUGUGUCCUCACAUGGCAGAAGAACAGAAAAGUGAGCUAGCUGAAUGCUCUGUGAAGCCUCCUUUAUAAGGGCUUUAUUCUCAUCCAUGAGGGAUGAGCCCUCAUGACCUAAUCACCUCUUAAGGGUACCUCCUCUUAGUACCAUCACACUGGGAAUUCAAUUUCAACACCUGAAUUUUGGAGGGGACACAUUCAAACCAAAGUGAUGUUCUUUAUCAGGUUAAAGAAGUUCUCUACUCUUAGUCUGCUGAGAGUUAAUAUGUUCUUUUUAAUGGCUGCAUGAAGUUCCAUGGUAUAUAUGCACAUAGUUUAUUAAAAUGAAACAUGACAAAACCA